rnacentral:rRNA from 1 species
AUUGAACGCUGGCGGCAUGCCUUACACAUGCAAGUCGAACGGUAACAGGUUAAGCUGACGAGUGGCGAACGGGUGAGUAAUACAUCGGAACGUGCCCAGUAGUGGGGGAUAGCCCGGCGAAAGCCGGAUUAAUACCGCAUACGACCUAAGGGUGAAAGGGGGGGAUCGCAAGACCUCUCGCUAUUGGAGCGGCCGAUGUCAGAUUAGCUAGUUGGUGGGGUAAAAGCUCACCAAGGCGACGAUCUGUAGCUGGUCUGAGAGGACGACCAGCCACACUGGGACUGAGACACGGCCCAGACUCCUACGGGAGGUAGCAGUGGGGAAUUUUGGACAAAGGGCGCAAGCCUGAUCCAGCCAUGCCGCGUGCGGGAAGAAGGCCUUCGGGUUGUAAACCGCUUUUGUCAGGGAAGAAAUCCUUUGGGUUAAUACCUCGGGGGGAUGACGGUACCUGAAGAAUAAGCACCGGCUAACUACGUG